AAAUAAAUAAACACUAAAAGUACACCCUGACAGUUGAUUACGAUACAUCUAACAAUUUGAGUCAUUACAGUAAAACAUGGAUUAUAAGUGAAAUAUACGCGUAAGAGAAGAUUUUCUCUCGAAAAAACGAACUGUCAACAAUCGGCAUGGAACUGGGAUAUUCGUAUCAAAGGGCUCAGAAUGCAGGAAAAUGACUGAAUAUUACUUAGUCAACAACACUGGGUUAUGAAGAAUUCCAGCCUGCAUUAAAUACUAUGUUGGAUCCUUGAGAGCGGAUUUGACAGCCAUGUCCAUCCACAAGGCAGUCGCAUCUGAUCGAGAUGAUCACUAAACAUUCUUGAUGGG